GAUGAAGAACGCAGCGAAAUGCGAUAAGUAGUGUGAAUUGCAGAAUUCAGUGAAUCAUCGAAUCUUUGAACGCACAUUGCGCCCCUUGGUAUCCCGAGGGGCAUGCCUGUUCGAGCGUCAUUUCACCACUCAAGCCUGGCUUGGUGUUGGGCGACGUCCUCUUUGGGGACGCGCCUCGAAACGCUCGGCGGCGUGGCACCGGCUUUAAGCGUAGCAGAAUCUUUCGCUUUGGAAGUCGGGGCCCCGUCUGCCGGAAGACCUGCUCGCAAGGUUGACCUCGGAUCAGGCAGGGAUACCCGCUGAACUUAAGCGUAUCAAUAAGCGGAGGA
rnacentral:misc_RNA from 1 species